rnacentral:rRNA from 1 species
AACGAACGCUGGCGGCAGGCCUAACACAUGCAAGUCGAACGCCCCGCAAGGGGAGUGGCAGACGGGUGAGUAACACGUGGGAACCUUCCCAACAGUACGGAAUAGCCCAGGGAAACUUGGAGUAAUACCGUAUAUUCCCGUGAGGGGAAAGAUUUAUCGCUGUUGGAUGGGCCCGCGUCGGAUUAGCUAGUUGGUGAGGUAACGGCUCACCAAGGCGACGAUCCGUAGCUGGUUUGAGAGAAUGACCAGCCACACUGGGACUGAGACACGGCCGAGACUCGUACGGGAGGCGGCAGUGGGGAAUCGUGGACAAUGGGCGCAAGCAUGAUCCAGCCAUGCCGCGUGAGUGACGAAGGCCUUAGGGUUGUAGAGCUCUUUUGCCGGGGACGAUAAUGACGGUACCCGGAGAAUAAGUCCCGGCUAACUUCGUGCCAGCCGCCGCCGUAACAC